rnacentral:rRNA from 1 species
UGAGUAACGCGUGGGUAACCUGCCUCAUACAGGGGGAUAACAGUCGGAAACGAUUGCUAAAACCGCAUAACAUAGCGAAACCGCAUGAUUUUGCUAUCAAAUAUUUAGUAGGUAUGAGAUGGGCCCGCGUCUGGAUUAGCUAGUUGGUGGGGUAAUGGCCUACCAAGGCGACGAUCAGUAGCCGGCUUGAGAGAGUGACCGGCCACAUUGGGACUGAGACACGGCCCAAACUCCUACGGGAGGCAGCAGUGGGGAAUAGUUGGACAAUGGGGGAAACCCUGAUCCAGCGACGCCCGCGUGAGUGAAGAAGUAUUUCGGUAUGUAAAGCUCUAUCAGCAGGGAAGAUAAUGACAGUACCUGACUAAGAAGCCCCGGCUAACUACGUGCCAGCAGCAGC